rnacentral:rRNA from 1 species
UUUAAAUUUAAAUUAAUUUAACCUAAGUAGUAAUAGUUAUGUUCUUGAAACUUAAAGAAUUUGGCGGUAUUUUAGUCUAUUUAGAGGAAUCUGUCCCUUAAAUCGAUAAUCCACGUUGUACCUUACCAAAUUUUAUUGUAUGUAUAUCGCCGUUAUAAGAGGAUCUUUUUAGGGAUUAAUAAUUUUCUAAAUUUAUUUUAAAAGUUUAUUUCAGGUCAAGGUGCAGCUAAUGAUUUGGUGGAGAUGGAUUACAUUUAAAUUAAUUAUUGAAUUAUUUAAUGUAAAAUUAAUAUAAAAAUGGAUUUAAUAGUAAUUUCUUAUAGAUUAUUGAAAUGAUUUUGGCUCUAUAAUAUGC